rnacentral:misc_RNA from 1 species
GAUGAAGAACGCAGCAAAAUGCGAUACUUGGUGUGAAUUGCAGAAUCCCGUGAACCAUCGAGUUUUUGAACGCAAGUUGCGCCCGAAGCCUUUUGGCCGAGGGCACGUCUGCCUGGGCGUCACGCAUCGCGUCGCCCCCCACAACUCUCCGUAAAGGGAACUUGUGUUUUGGGGGCGGAUAUUGGUCUCCCGUGCUCAUGGCGUGGUUGGCCGAAAUAGGAGUCCCUCCGGUGGACGCACGAACUAGUGGUGGUCGUAAAAACCCUCGUCUUUUGUUUCGUACCGUUAGUCGCGAGGGAAACUCUUUAAAAACCCAAAUGUGUCGUCUCUUGACGGCGCUUCGACCGCGACCCCAGGUCAGGCGGGACUACCCGCUGAGUUUAAGCAUAUCAAUAAGCGGAGGA